rnacentral:rRNA from 1 species
UCCGGUACAUUGAAUGCGCAAGAGUAGCAUAACCAUUAGCAUUUUAAUUAAAGGCUGUUAUAAAUGGUUGGAAGAGAAAUAAGCUGUCGUAUUAUUAAAAUUGAGUUUUACUUUAAACUGAAAUGGCCAAAAUGAUAUUUCGUUACGAAAAGGUCCUAUGGUGUUUAAAAGAUUGUAAUAACUAAUGGAAGAUCGGAGUUAGUUGUUUAUAAAAAAUAAAUACUUUUAUUAGUGAAAAAAUGAAUAAAAAUACAAGAAUAUGGGGCGAUAAAUUGUGAACUGGUCACAUAAAAUUAGAGAAAAAAUGUCCUUAGCGAGAAAACACUACUUUAUUCGAGAGUUCAAACCGCGAGUUUGCGACCUCGCUUUUAGAUUGAGAUAAUUCCAAAUAUAAAGUUUAAAAAACCAGUUUGUUCGGUUUUUUAAUCAUACGUGAUCUGAGUUCA